CUAAUAAGUGUAAAGAAAAAUACACACCAGGUAACUAGCUCACUGCUAAACAUCAAGUAAUUGUGUUUAGAUUUUAUCAUCAAACUAAUUACCAUUUAUUACCACACAAACAUAUGGCAAAGUGGUAGUGAUAACGAUUCCCAGGUACCAGGAAUUUUUACUGUAUCUAUUAAAAUGUGAAAGGUACCAAUUCCCUGUAGUUGCUAUGGUAUGCUGUGAUGUAAAAGCCAUUGUUACAGUCCUAAAUUCACUUCCAUAGUAUCUCUUAGCACUCACACGCGAUGUACUAUUUCUAUUUAAUUAAUCAGAACAUAAAUCAUGUUUAUCUUUGGCUUGCUUGUUUCCAGGGAUGGUUGUUGUCUCUGCAGAAUUCCAAAUGAAAGAAACGAGGAGCCGUAGACUGACCGUGUCCAGGUGGAUCUUCAGGUUUUCCAGGCGGGAAAACGCUUUGGUGCAUCCCUCGAACUGACGAGAGGCAUCACAUGUCAUUUUGGUGCUUUUAAGUUUUUCCCCUGCUGUUGCAAGUACACCAAACACACCAUAAAAAAGCCUCUUGCAGCUAAACCAAGGGUGUCAAACGUACGGGACAGGAACAGGCCCGCAAACAGGUUUUAUCCGGCCUGCAGGAUGAGUUUGUUGAAUAGCCCUGGCCUCGACACUUGAUGGCUGGAAAAUACCAAUCCAAACUACCCUCCAAUGGCUGGACUCUUGAUUCUGGUUCGAUGAAGUCAGCUACAACAGAUGGAGGCAUUCCCCUUACCAGUGGUCCAGAUGUAAUUACAGAGAGUGAAGUGUGCAGGUCUACAGAGAAGGACGAUCCAAAGACAUGUGGCAGAAAUGUGAUGCAACUCAACCACAGAGAUUUGAGAACACCUACGGACUUUAUGGAACCAGACCCCCGUGAUGAUUUCCAAAAGAAAACCAGCAGCACGUUGCGGACGAGUGGAACCUUCCCCCCUCAUCUAUUCACACAGCGCUAAGGGCACCGGUCCAGGAAGAAGAGUCUUACGCUCCGUCCCCCUCUCCUGCGUGGGGAGGUUACCAGGUGACCACAGAUCAGCCACCACGGGUGAAACGCUAGCUGUUCAAAGUCAGGACCCAGGAUGGACCACUCCUCUUUGCAUCGGUUGGUUACGUCUCUGCGCUGCUGACUUGCCUUCAUUCAAGAGGAUUCCCUGCUGGCCUAACAAUGGACUGAAAUCGGGACCUGGGGUGGACCACUCCUGAUGCAUCAGUCGGUGACGUCUAUGCGCCCUGACGUGUCUACAUGCAAGAGGAUCCCCUGCAGGCCCCACUAUGGACUGGACUUUCACAUUAUUAAACCUAUCCACUCAGCAUCCGUUGCACCGAACACCCAGGGGCGGAUCCCCACAUUAAUAAAUAAAUAAAUGAUAAAUGGGUUGUACUUGUAUAGCGCUUUUCUACCUUCAAGGUACUCAAAGCGCUUUGACACUACUUCCACAUUUACCCAUUCACACACACAUUCACACACUGAUGGAGGGAGCUGCCAUGCAAGGCGCCAACCAGCACCCAUCAGGAGCAAGGGUGAAGUGUCUUGCUCAGGACACAACGGACGUGACGAGGUUGGUACUAGGUGGGAUUUGAACCAGGGACCCUCGGGUUGCGCACAGCCACUCCACCACCGCGCCACGCCGUCCCUUUUUAGCGGUCCCUUCUAAGGUUUCUCAAUGUUCCCAUUGGGUUGAGGGUUUUUGUUGCCCUGAUGUGGGAUCUGAGCCUAGAAUAUCAUUGUGGUUUGUGCAGCCCUUUGAGACAUUUCUGAUAAAGGGAUGUACAAACCCCGUUUCCAUAUGAGUUGGGAAAUUGUGUUAGACGUAAAUAUAAACGGAAUACAAUGAUUUGCAAAUCCUUUUUAACCCAUAUUCAAUUGAAUGCACUACAAAGACAAAAUAUUUGAUGUUUUUGCAAAUAAUAAUCAACUUAGAAUUUCAGGGCUGCAAAAUGUGCCAAAG